UGCAAGAAUCGAUCAACAAGUCAUCUGAGCAUAUAAUCUAGAACUACCGUCGGCCAUGGCCGACAAUCCUACCCCUCAGGGUACACCGACCUCAAAGGUCAUCAAACGACGGAAGUCAAGAAGCAGACCAACCCAAUACAUAAUGCAACAACCGACCAACCAGGUCAACAGAUAUAAGAUAAAAGCACCGAUCAACUAGGUCAUCGAAACGAAGUACGAGAACCGACCAAUCAGGUCACCGAAACAAAGUACGAGAACCGACCAAUCAGGUCACCGAAACAAAGUACGAGAACCGACCAAUCAGGUCACCGGUAUCACAUAUGGAUAAACUACUCUACUCCUACACAUGAUACUAAGCAUAGAAACAUAUGAGUAGAGUAUAAUAGAAACAACGGGGAUGCAAGCUCAAUAUAUAAUACGAAAAUAGCAAUAGAAAAACAGGGAUAGAAGAAAUAUCACCGAGCGUGCACCACUGUACCGACUUCGGAUCGAAGUACCCACCUGUACAAAUGCUGCGCCUGUCUCCUCACUGAAAAAGAACAUCAACCGGACCUAAGGAAGGUCCACCGGGUUAGUGUCUGACCCACAGCUAAUAACCACUAAAUCCACAACCUACAAGCAAACCCAUGGAGAUCGGUUUCCCAAACCGAUCGCCGUAAUACGCCGGAAGUCCCGUAAUCGCACGGGGACUCCGCCGGGAGCCACGAACUGUCCCGGAACAUACCGACUCGAGCUACGAGUCACCUGCUGCCACUAAACAUAAAUAAUCAUGCAUCAUGGCAGCGAACACAACUUCUCGUGUCGAAACAAUUAUCAUCGGAUAAUCGUUUCGAUUCGGGUUCCCGGAAGUGUCUAAUUCGACACCGGAACCCACCGUCGCUCACCCGUCAUUUCCGAACUCUCGAAAUGACGUAAGUGACCAGCCAACAAGGCUCAGCGACUACGCAAAAGCUCACGAAGCACCGUCGGAAUAAUUCCGAACCGAACCCGCGUUCCGUCGGCGGAUUUCGCCGAAAAACACACCGGAAAUGCA
rnacentral:lncRNA from 1 species